AAGUCCCGUAACGAGCGCAACCCUUGUCCUCAGUUACCAGCGGUUCGGCCGGGAACUCUGGGGAGACUGCCGGUGACAAACCGGAGGAAGGUGGGGAUGACGUCAAGUCAUCAUGGCCCUUAUGGGCAGGGCUACACACGUGCUACAAUGGGCGGUACAAAGGGCAGCCAACCCGCGAGGGGGAGCCAAUCCCAUAAAGCUGGUCGUAGUCCGGAUUGGAGUCUGCAACUCGACUCCAUGAAGUCGGAAUCGCUAGUAAUCGUGGAUCAGAAUGCCACGGUGAAUACGUUCCCGGGCCUU
rnacentral:rRNA from 1 species